CGAACGCUGGCGGCGCGCUUAACACAUGCAAGUCGAACGGUGAAGCGCCUUCCUUUUUGGUGGGUGUGGAUGAGUGGCGAACGGGUGAGUAACACGUGAGUAACCUGCCCCCUUCUUCUGGAUAACCGCAUGAAAGUGUGGCUAAUACGGGAUAUUCUGGGUCUGUCGCAUGAUGGGUCUGGGAAAGAUAUUGUUUCGGUGGGGGAUGGGCUCGCGGCCUAUCAGCUUGUUGGUGGGGUGAUGGCCUACCAAGGCGGUGACGGGUAGCCGGCCUGAGAGGGUGGACGGUCACACUGGGACUGAGACACGGCCCAGACUCCUACGGGAGGCAGCAGUGGGGAAUAUUGCACAAUGGGCGCAAGCCUGAUGCAGCGACGCCGCGUGAGGGAUGGAGGCCUUCGGGUUGUGAACCUCUUUCGCCAGUGAAGCAGGCCUGCCUCGUUUGUGGGUGGGUUGACGGUAGCUGGAUAAGAAGCGCCGGCUAACUACGUG
rnacentral:rRNA from 1 species